UAUGUAAAAAAGCAUUUUUUUAGACACUUCAUUCAUUAAGCAGCCCAACAGGUUCAGUACCAAGGCUAUCUGAGCCUAAGACCCAAAGUGGCAACGCAAGCAGCCAGCCACUAAACGAGCUCCAGUGGUGGAUGCCAUUCCAGUGAUCUUCACCCCAUUUGCCUUCGUGGAUUGAAAGAGCUCGAUGCCACCUCAGUCACACAUCUCGCCCUGAAGCAAACAGGGAUUCACACGGCUUAGUAAUAGCGACUCCCACAGACCAUCUAUAGUUGAGUUGAUCUUUUGUUGUAGAUAGUUUACAAGAUAAAUGUAUUUUAUGGUGAACGUUAUGACAUUAUAUGCUGAGCCCCAUCAAUUCCUGUUUGUAAAACCGCAGAAUAACAAUUUAUAAGUAUUUCUAAAUGUUAGCAGCAUGCAUAAACAUUUUUUCACUAAAACAGAUGACAUUUACACUACAGUAUAUUUAUCUUGGUUUAUUUUCAAAGCGAUGAACAGAGAAUUAAGGAGACUCUGUGGAUUUGCUUGGGUAUGUCAACUCCAGGAUUUCUGCACUAAGGAUUAUGACAUUUUAGGCCAAUUUAUUUUUAGUGGUUACCUGCCAUAUAUUUAUAUGGUAAAACAUUUAAUCUCGUUCUAGCCAUUUUGGAAGAAAACUUCCUUACGACAAAAUAUGGAGCUAAGAAUAUCAUGCAAACAAUAACAUGAAUACAGUCUCCACAGAGUUCAUACCAGCUCUUAUGUGAAUCCACUGCAUUUAUUCUGGCGGUACCUAUGUAUCAUUUUGCCUAUGUAUUUCAACCAAGGGUACCACAGUACAUCAAUAUAUUGGGCAAUUACUACCUUCAUUUUUUUGACAGUUCACACUGGAAUUCAUGGGAGUAGAGGUGAGAUAUAGGCAAGUCUACAAAAAGAGAUAGAUGGGCAAUUUAUUCAUUGAAACCACUAUGACAGAAACAUUAAAGUUAUUGAUCUGACAAUAAAGUCUUAACGAAAACACGACUGGUUAGCAGUUUCAAAUGAAAGUUAAACAGAUUCCUGAGCGAGCUUAUUUACUUGCAUUAACACCCACCUUUUUAUAUGGAGCCUCGAGCAUUGCUUCGAUGUCCAAAUCAUCGGCCAUGUUGUUGUUGUUGAUCUACACUGCGGCCUACAGAGCUUUACAAUCCUGACUCCACAAACGAGCGCUAAAACCCGGAUCUACGGUCGGCUCCGGCUACAGUUGCAAACCCCAGGCGUUUAACACGAAUCCACACAAACCUAAAAAACACAACGGUAUUAAUCCAAAACGUUAUCGUU